rnacentral:rRNA from 1 species
AGAGUUUGAUCCUGGCUCAGGACGAACGCUGGCGGCGUGCUUAACACAUGCAAGUCGAACGGAAAGGCCCCUUCGGGGGUACUCGAGUGGCGAACGGGUGAGUAACACGUGGGUGAUCUGCCCUGCACUUCGGGAUAAGCCUGGGAAACUGGGUCUAAUACCGGAUAGGACCCUCCUUUAGUGUGGGGGGUGGAAAGAUUUAUCGGUGCAGGAUGAGCCCGCGGCCUAUCAGCUUGUUGGUGGGGUAAUGGCCUACCAAGGCGUCGACGGGUAGCCGGCCUGAGAGGGUGGACGGCCACAUUGGGACUGAGAUACGGCCCAGACUCCUACGGGAGGCAGCAGUGGGGAAUAUUGCACAAUGGGCGGAAGCCUGAUGCAGCGACGCCGCGUGGGGGAUGACGGCCUUCGGGUUGUAAACCUCUUUCGACAGGGACGAAGUGAAAAUGACGGUACCUGUAUAAGAAGCACCGGCUAACUACGUGCCAGCAGCCGCGGUAAUACGUAGGGUGCGAGCGUUGUCCGGAAUUACUGGGCGUAAAGAGCUCGUAGGUGGUUUGUCACGUCGUCUGCGAAAUUCCGGGGCUUAACCUCGGGCGUGCAGGCGAUACGGGCAAUACUUGAGUGCUGUAGGGGAGACUGGAAUUCCUGGUGUAGCGGUGAAAUGCGCAGAUAUCAGGAGGAACACCAAUGGCGAAGGCAGGUCUCUGGGCAGUUACUGACGCUGAGGAGCGAAAGCAUGGGUAGCGAACAGGAUUAGAUACCCUGGUAGUCCAUGCCGUAAACGGUGGGCGCUANGUGUAGGGNACUUUCCACGUCUUCUGUGCCGUANCUAACGCAUUAAGCGCCCCGCCUGGGGNNUACNGCCGCANGGCUAAAACUCAAAGGAAUUGACGGGGGNNCCGCAC